rnacentral:tRNA from 1 species
GCCCCUGUAGUUUAAUGGUUAUGACGCCGGACUUCUAAUCCGGAGGCUGCGGGUUCGAGUCCCGCCAGGGGUU